rnacentral:rRNA from 1 species
CAAGUCGAACGCGAAAGUCCCCUUCGGGGGAUAAGUAGAGUGGCGUCCGGGUGAGUAACACGUAGGUAAUCUACCUUCGGGUGGGGAAUAACCCAGGGAAACUUGGGCUAAUACCGCAUAAUGCAGCGGCACCACAUGGUGACAGUUGUUAAAGCGGGGGAUCUUCGGAUCUCGCGCCUGGAGAGGAGCCUGCGGCAGAUUAGCUAGUUGGUAAGGUAAUGGCUUACCAAGGCGACGAUCUGUAGCCGGCCUGAGAGGGCGGUCGGCCACACUGACACUGACAUACGGGUCAGACUCCUACGGGAGGCAGCAGUCGGGAAUUUUGGGCAAUGGGCGAAAGCCUGACCCAGCAACGCCGCGUGAAGGAUGAAAUCCCUCGGGAUGUAAACUUCGCAAGAAUGGGAAGAAUUAGUAGGGGUUAAUACCCUCUAUGAUGACGGUACCAUUUGUAAGCUCCGGCUAACUCCGUGCCAGCAGCCGCGGUAAUACGGGGGGAGCAAGCGUUGUUCGGAUUUACUGGGCGUAAAGGGCGCGUAGGCGGUCAGCACAAGUCAGUUGUGAAAUCUCCGGGCUUAACUCGGAAAGGUCAACUGAUACUGUGCGACUAGAGUGCGGAAGGGGCAACUGGAAUUCUCGGUGUAGCGGUGAAAUGCGUAGAUAUCGAGAGGAACACCUGCGGCGAAGGCGGGUUGCUGGGCCGACACUGACGCUGAUGCGCGAAAGCCAGGGGAGCGAACGGGAUUAGAUACCCCGGUAGUCCUGGCCUUAAACGAUGGAUGCUUGGUGUCUGGAGUUUUAUAGUCUCCGGGUGCCGUAGCUAACGCGUUAAGCAUCCCGCCUGGGGAGUACGGUCGCGAGACUGAAACUCAAAGGAUUGACGGGGACCCGCACAAGCGGUGGA